rnacentral:rRNA from 1 species
GACGAACGCUGGCGGCGUGCCUAAUACAUGCAAGUAGAACGCACAGUUUAUACCGUAGCUUGCUCCACCAUAGACUGUGAGUUGCGAACGGGUGAGUAACGCGUAGGUAACCUGCCUGGUAGCGGGGGAUAACUAUUGGAAACGAUAGCUAAUACCGCAUAAUAUUGAUUAUUGCAUGAUAAUUGAUUGAAAGAUGCUAUUGCAUCACUACCAGAUGGACCUGCGUUGUAUUAGCUAGUAGGUGAGGUAACGGCUCACCUAGGCGACGAUACAUAGCCGACCUGAGAGGGUGAUCGGCCACACUGGGACUGAGACACGGCCCAGACUCCUACGGGAGGCAGCAGUAGGGAAUCUUCGGCAAUGGACGAAAGUCUGACCGAGCAACGCCGCGUGAGUGAAGAAGGGUUUCGGAUCGUAAAGCUCUGUUGUAAGAGAAGAACGGGUGUGAGAGUGGAAAGUUCACACUGUGACGGUAUCUUACCAGAAAGGGACGGCUAACUACGUG